GUUAAAUUUUAAGACAAAUCCGUCAUAUGACACAAAGAAAACGUAAGUACGUAACCUUAGAUGAGCGCCAAAUUGCGACACACACAAAAAACCGAGUGGCUGACGAGCGGCAUUACCACUGAUCCACAAGCCCAAUCGAAAUACUGCUUAUGUCGGGAGGUGCUCAGUAAAUGGAGAGACAUAAAACGCCGGUUGAGUGCGUUCUAUGUGAAUGUGAUAUUUGAAUUAUCAACACAUUUCUAAUUUUGAUCCGAUUCGCCCUGUGAUCCGAUUCGCCUCGGUCUACCCUACUAUCAUCUUAUCAGUAU